rnacentral:rRNA from 1 species
UACGUAGGGGGCAAGCGUUGUCCGGAUUUAUUGGGCGUAAAGAGCGUGUAGGCGGCCAGGUAGGUCAGCUGUGAAAACUCGAGGCUCAACCUCGAGACGUCGGUUGAAACCACCUGGCUAGAGUCCGGAAGAGGAGAGUGGAAUUCCUGGUGUAGCGGUGAAAUGCGCAGAUAUCAGGAAGAACACCCGUGGCGAAGGCGGCUCUCUGGGACGGUACUGACGCUGAGACGCGAGAGCGUGGGGAGCGAACAGG